rnacentral:rRNA from 1 species
GACGAACGCUGGCGGCGUGCUUAACACAUGCAAGUCGAACGAUGACGCUGGAGCUUGCUCCAGUUGAUUAGUGGCGAACGGGUGAGUAACACGUGCGCACUCUGCCCUUGACUCUGGGAUAACUGCGGGAAACUGUAGCUAAUACCGGAUACUUUCACCGGCACGCAUCUUUUGGUUAUGAAAGAAUUUCGGUCAGGGAUGAGCUCGCGGCCUUUCAGCUUGUUGGUGAGGUAACGGCUCACCAAGGCGACGACGGGUAACCGGCCUGAGAGGGUGACCGGUCACACUGGGACUGAGACACGGCCCAGACUCCUACGGGAGGCAGCAGUGGGGAAUAUUGCACAAUGGGCGCAAGCCUGAUGCAGCAACGCCGCGUGAGGGAUGAAGGCCUUCGGGUUGUAAACCUCUUUUAGCAGGGAAGAAGCGAAAGUGACGGUACCUGCAGAAAAAGCACCGGCUAACUACGUGCCAGCCGCCGCAGUAA